UGGAUGAUUCGAUUUCUAUCGCAGACCAAUGACGACUUAUUGACAACCUGCUUCACUCUAUGAC
rnacentral:snoRNA from 1 species